rnacentral:rRNA from 1 species
GCUUGUCUCAAAGAUUAAGCCAUGCAUGUCUAAGUAUAAAUAGUAUACAGUGAAACUGCGAAUGGCUCAUUAAAACAGUUAUAGUUUAUUUGAUAAUUGAAAAUUACAUGGAUAACCGUGGUAAUUCUAGAGCUAAUACAUGCACAAAGGCCCACUCACGUGGGUUGUGAUUAUUAGAUUCAAACCGGCCUCGUUCUGGUGAUUCAUAAUAACUUGUCGAACCGCACGCCCUUGAGGCAGCGGUGAUUCAUUCAAAUUUCUGCCCUAUCAACUUUCGAUGGUAGGAUAGA